GUUGAGAUUCCCUUCUCCGUGCUCUUCUCUUCUCUUCUCUUCUCUUCUCGUCCGCUUCGGUGUGAGAUCCACGAGCUUCCCUUCUCAGUCUCUCAGCUUCUCGUCCGCUACGGAUUCACGAGAUCCAUUGUUGAUGUUGUUGGUCAUCGAUCUCAUGGCGCCCUGUUCCUGAACCUGGAUCAAUCGUCGUUGUUCGGGUUACAAAAGUUAUGGCUAUAAUGGCUUCAGCUGAUAUAAUGUGUGUGGAAUCAAAGGCUGUGAAGGAAAAGUUUACUGGUAUUAUUAGUUUACUGGUAUGCAAUGUUAAUUGA